AUGGCCACACCACGUUGAAAAAUCCGUCCCGGUACCAUCAUUGAAGUUAAGCAACGUCUAGCCUGGUCAGUACCUUGAUGGGUGAUCGUUUGGGAAUAUCAGGUGCUGUAAG